CUCAAAAAAAAAAAAAAAAAAAAAAAAAUGGUUGCAAACAGCAGCUUCCCUGGUAGUGAUGCAGCCUGUUUGUUGUAUGGGUUGCUCUAAGGGACCUUGGAGACAGUC
rnacentral:snoRNA from 1 species